rnacentral:rRNA from 1 species
AUGGAGCAGGGGGAUGUGGAGAACCAAACCAACCCUGUUCGAUCUGGGGAGGGCUCUGCUAUGGUGGUCUCUGGCGGCCCAUCUGCUCGGGAAGAGGCUGCUCGCGGCUUGGCAGGGGGCCGCGCUGCGACGGAGUCGUUCGUGUCCUCCCCCUUGGCUAAGGGAGGGGGCGCUGUGGUUGGGGGUCCUUCUGGACUGCCGUUCGUGUCCUCCCCCAUGGCCACCAUCGGUUUCUCAGCGAUUCCAGCAUCUCCUCCGUCCCUGCGCCGGCAUGACAAGAAGGUCGCCGUGCUGGCGGACGAGGAGGACGUGCCUAUCGUCAUCCACAUGGAGGCAGCCACUCAGGCAGCGAAAGGGAAGCUCAUUGUGGCACGGGUGCUGUCGGCGUACCCAGUGGACCACAACGCCGUCGUCAACAGCUUGCGUGGUGCGUGGCGGCUCCGCGGCAAUGCCGUGCCGCAGCGUGUCACGAGCAACGACGGGCGGUUCGUCAUCACGUUCUCCGAGGAGGGGGCCGGCAGCGGGUUCUCCAUGCUGGGCCGUGGCAUUACCAAAAUGACGCGGUGCUCACCAAGGACUUCGACGGCGUGGGUAAUCCUGUGGAUGUGCGCCUAG